AUGCUUACCGAAAGAGGGGAAUUGCACGUAAGAAAAGGGAUAAUCUUCAUGGACUGGCUUCCACCAAUCGAAGUUUCGCGCAUUUCAUAUGGUGGUAAAGUGAGACCACAUAAAGAGCUCUCUGAUCCUCAUUCAGUCAGAUUCUUCAGUAAGAUAUGGUUUUACCCUUUUCCUUUUUGUUUGAAUCUUCAUUCAUUGAGUAUGAGGAAUCCAAAAGCAGUAAGACCCCGAUACAACAAUAAGACAAUAAAAUUUUGUUACCUACACCUAAUUCAAGACCGGUUAAUGCAAGAACUAUAA